rnacentral:sRNA from 1 species
ACCUCAUUCAUUUCUACCGGUCUCUAGUAGUGCAGCUUCGGCUGGUGUCAUCGCUGUCCUUCCUCCGCUGCCGCCCCCGCAAGGCUUCGCCGUCAUCGAGGCCAUUUCCAGCGACUCGUCGCACGCUUUUCUAUAUACUUCGUUCCCCGCCAACCGCAACCAUUGACGCCAUGUCGGGUUAUUCGAGUGACCGAGACCGCGGCCGGGACCGAGGGUUUGGUGCACCUCGAUUUGGAGGAAGUAGGGCAGGGCCCUUAUCUGGAAAGAAGUUUGGAAACCCUGGGGAGAAAUUAGUUAAAAAGAAGUGGAAUCUUGAUGAGCUGCCUAAAUUUGAGAAGAAUUUUUAUCAAGAGCACCCUGAUUUGGCUAGGCGCACAGCAGUGAGUAAAUUCAUGUGGCUUCAUCAGGCUGUAACUCGAUCAUGGAUUCUAGUAAAUGAAAUUCUGACAGGUGUUUUGCAAAUAACUCAAUUUUGGUAGAGUUACAUGUUCUGACUUCAUAAUUGGGAAAGGUGUGACUCACUUUUGGAUACAGGUGGCUUUGGGAUUUUGUUUUACUUAAAUUAGGUUGAGUAUAACAAUAAAUUUUUUUUUUCAUAAUAGGGUGUUCAUAGGUGGGUCCAGAUUAAAAUGAAGGCUGCUUUAAACUAGUUACUAAAUUAUGAAGUUAGGGGCUUAUCAAUUACGUAUUUAGCUAGGGGUGG